CCUACGGGAGGCAGCAGUGGGGAAUCUUGCGCAAUGGGCGAAAGCCUGACGCAGCAACGCCGCGUGCGGGAAGAAGGCCUUCGGGUUGUAAACCGCUUUCAGCAGGAACGAAAAUGACGGUACCUGCAGAAGAAGGAGCGGCCAACCACGUGCCAGCAGCCGCGGUGACACGUAGGCUCCAAGCGUUGUCCGGAUUUAUUGGGCGUAAAGGGCUCGUAGGCGGUUCAGUAAGUCGGGUGUGAAAACUCUGGGCUCAACCCAGAGCCUGCAUUCGAAACUGCUGUGACUAGAGUUUGGUAGGGGAGCGGGGAAUUCCUAGUGUAGCGGUGAAAUGCGCAGAUAUUAGGAGGAACACCGGUGGCGAAAGCGCCGCUCUGGGCCAAUACUGACGCUGAGGAGCGAAAGCGUGGGUAGCAAACAGGAUUAGAUACCCUGGUAGUCCACGCCGUAAACGAUGGGCACUAGGUGUGGGUUUCAACUAACGAAAUCCGUGCCGUCGCUAACGCAUUAAGUGCCCCGCCUGGGGAGUACGGUCGCAAGACUAAAACUUAAGGAAUUGACGGCUGAGACGNGCGAGACGACGACGAGGAGAG
rnacentral:rRNA from 1 species